AGAAAAACAUGAACCACCAUUAGCAAAUGCAUGUCAAAGUUAUGAAAAAAGUGCUAUUUUGACCUUUAGUAAUAUAUAUUAAAUGUCAAAAUAGUUAAUAUUUUUUUUCAAAACUUUUGUAUGAGAAAAAUGCUUUUGGAAAUAUUAUAAGGAAAACCACGAUGAAAAUAAACUUUAAAAUGCUAAAUGCAAAUUAGAAAAUAAUUAUAAAAUUUGAAUAGAUAUUCAUAUGAUGAUAAUUUAAUAUAGUUAAUAAUUUUUUUAUUUUGUUUUUGUCAUGAUAAUUUUGCAAUAAAAGUGUGAAAUAUUAAAUUGUGAUUGAGGGAACUGACUAUUUAUUGGUUGUUCUUGAUAGAGUCUGCAAGUAAUUGUGAUGCCAUUUCUUGUUGAUUAUAUUGAAUGACUUUUAAUUGUGGGUCCAUUUCUUGUAGAACAAAGACACAAAACCCUUUUUUUUUUUUUUGAAAGAUAACAACUUUAUUGAAGACACAAAACCCUAUGGAGGUGAAAAGAUAAAAAACUGUAUGGACUUUGGUCUCUCCGAUUGAUGUAGGAUAAUUAGCCACAUGCUCUAAAAGCUCAAACUGUGUGGACUUUAUCUCAUAGCCGAAGCUCGAACUGUGGACUUUAUUUCAUAGCCGAGGUCCCAUAUCCCAUGGGUUAGGACGUUGGCUGAACCCUCUUCGUGGGCCCCACUUCACAUGGGCCCACCUCACACGAGCCGCCCGCCCCGAGUGUCCCUGCAUCUCACAGGCUACCCCACUUGAGCCCGGUGUGAAAAUACCCCUGGAUUACCGACCCUCUUUUCUAAUCUCUGCUCCCUUUCUCUUUCUAUCCCCUCCUCGAUGUGCAUGCAUGCUUGUGUGUACUCAAGUUCUUGGUAUGCAUGCUUGUAUGCUGUGGUUUUUGGACUUUGCAGAUUCAAUUAGAGAAAUUGGAGCAGUUCUGUAUCACCAGCCAUCCCAAAUGAUAAUGGUUAUUGGGGCAUGCAUGAAAGAGUUGCAGAUUCAAUUAGAGAAAUUGGAGCAGUUCUGUACCACCAGCCCAAAUGAUAAUGGUUAUUGGGGCAUGCAUGAAAGAAAAGGAUACCGACUCGGAAGGAAUUACAAAGAGGCAUCUUGGAUGCGACUACACAUUUUCUUGGAUACGAACUGCAGGUUGUAGCUAUGGUGUCUCUAGUACUUUGCACAAUGCAGCUGCUACAAGAAGCAAGAUUUGGAAGCGUGGUUCCUACACGAAAGAUGUAUGGAGAGCUCAUCAAAAAAGUAUGGAUAGCUGGCUUCCUGUAUGAAUUGUACCACCUACAUACAAUGUGGCUAGAAGACAAGGGCAACGCCGUCCAACGAUGUCUAUGGAAGAAGGUAAUCGAACAGGAAUUGUUUUUGACAGUGUAGCCUGCCUGAUGAAUGGCCAAAAACAUACAUUGAUUGACAGAUGGUUGGUGCCUUGGUGGGGCCUGCCUGAUGAAUGGAGCAUCCUGGUUUAUGUCGCUGUGAUCUUGUUGGCACGAACUUUUUAUGUGUUCCCCUUCUCAGCUUGUAAUGAUAGUUGAUCAUUUCAAUAUUUCCUUGAGACGUUGAGCCAAUUUGGUUUUUCCAUGUCUGAAGAAUGGGUGGUAGAUCUAACAUUAGAAUUUA